AGCCCAGAGCCUGAAUCAGUGUGUGUGUUAGUGGAAGCGUCUGGAAAGGCGCGCGAUACAGGGUGACAGCCCCGUACACAAAAAUGCACAUGCUGUGAGCUCGAUGAGUAGGGCGGGACACGUGGUAUCCUGUCUGAAUAUGGGGGGACCAUCCUCCAAGGCUAAAUACUCCUGACUGACCGAUAGUGAACCAGUACCGUGAGGGAAAGGCGAAAAGAACCCCGGCGAGGGGAGUGAAAAAGAACCUGAAACCGUGUACGUACAAGCAGUGGGAGCACGCUUAGGCGUGUGACUGCGUACCUUUUGUAUAAUGGGUCAGCGACUUAUAUUCUGUAGCAAGGUUAACCGAAUAGGGGAGCCGAAGGGAAACCGAGUCUUAACUGGGCGUUAAGUUGCAGGGUAUAGACCCGAAACCCGGUGAUCUAGCCAUGGGCAGGUUGAAGGUUGGGUAACACUAACUGGAGGACCGAACCGACUAAUGUUGAAAAAUUAGCGGAUGACUUGUGGCUGGGGGUGAAAGGCCAAUCAAACCGGGAGAUAGCUGGUUCUCCCCGAAAGCUAUUUAGGUAGCGCCUCGUGAAUUCAUCUCCGGGGGUAGAGCACUGUUUCGGCAAGGGGGUCAUCCCGACUUACCAACCCGAUGCAAACUACGAAUACCGGAGAAUGUUAUCACGGGAGACACACGGCGGGUGCUAACGUCCGUCGUGAAGAGGGAAACAACCCAGACCGCCAGCUAAGGUCCCAAAGUCAUGGUUAAGUGGGAAACGAUGUGGGAAGGCCCAGACAGCCAGGAUGUUGGCUUAGAAGCAGCCAUCAUUUAAAGAAAGCGUAAUAGCUCACUGGUCGAGUCGGCCUGCGCGGAAGAUGUAACGGGGCUAAACCAUGCACCGAAGCUGCGGCAGCGACGCUGAUGCGUUGUUGGGUAGGGGAGCGUUCUGUAAGCCUGCGAAGGUGUGCUGUGAGGCAUGCUGGAGGUAUCAGAAGUGCGAAUGCUGACAUAAGUAACGAUAAAGCGGGUGAAAAGCCCGCUCGCCGGAAGACCAAGGGUUCCUGUCCAACGUUAAUCGGGGCAGGGUGAGUCGACCCCUAAGGCGAGGCCGAAAGGCGUAGUCGAUGGGAAACAGGUUAAUAUUCCUGUACUUGGUGUUACUGCGAAGGGGGGACGGAGAAGGCUAUGUUGGCCGGGCGACGGUUGUCCCGGUUUAAGCGUGUAGGCUGGUUUUCCAGGCAAAUCCGGAAAAUCAAGGCUGAGGCGUGAUGACGAGGCACUACGGUGCUGAAGCAACAAAUGCCCUGCUUCCAGGAAAAGCCUCUAAGCAUCAGGUAACAUCAAAUCGUACCCCAAACCGACACAGGUGGUCAGGUAGAGAAUACCAAGGCGCUUGAGAGAACUCGGGUGAAGGAACUAGGCAAAAUGGUGCCGUAACUUCGGGAGAAGGCACGCUGAUAUGUAGGUGAAGUCCCUCGCGGAUGGAGCUGAAAUCAGUCGAAGAUACCAGCUGGCUGCAACUGUUUAUUAAAAACACAGCACUGUGCAAACACGAAAGUGGACGUAUACGGUGUGACGCCUGCCCGGUGCCGGAAGGUUAAUUGAUGGGGUUAGCGCAAGCGAAGCUCUUGAUCGAAGCCCCGGUAAACGGCGGCCGUAACUAUAACGGUCCUAAGGUAGCGAAAUUCCUUGUCGGGUAAGUUCCGACCUGCACGAAUGGCGUAAUGAUGGCCAGGCUGUCUCCACCCGAGACUCAGUGAAAUUGAACUCGCUGUGAAGAUGCAGUGUACCCGCGGCAAGACGGAAAGACCCCGUGAACCUUUACUAUAGCUUGACACUGAACAUUGAGCCUUGAUGUGUAGGAUAGGUGGGAGGCUUUGAAGUGUGGACGCCAGUCUGCAUGGAGCCGACCUUGAAAUACCACCCUUUAAUGUUUGAUGUUCUAACGUGGACCCGUAAUCCGGGUUGCGGACAGUGUCUGGUGGGUAGUUUGACUGGGGCGGUCUCCUCCUAAAGAGUAACGGAGGAGCACGAAGGUUGGCUAAUCCUGGUCGGACAUCAGGAGGUUAGUGCAAUGGCAUAAGCCAGCUUGACUGCGAGCGUGACGGCGCGAGCAGGUGCGAAAGCAGGUCAUAGUGAUCCGGUGGUUCUGAAUGGAAGGGCCAUCGCUCAACGGAUAAAAGGUACUCCGGGGAUAACAGGCUGAUACCGCCCAAGAGUUCAUAUCGACGGCGGUGUUUGGCACCUCGAUGUCGGCUCAUCACAUCCUGGGGCUGAAGUAGGUCCCAAGGGUAUGGCUGUUCGCCAUUUAAAGUGGUACGCGAGCUGGGUUUAGAACGUCGUGAGACAGUUCGGUCCCUAUCUGCCGUGGGCGCUGGAGAAUUGAGGGGGGCUGCUCCUAGUACGAGAGGACCGGAGUGGACGCAUCACUGGUGUUCGGGUUGUCAUGCCAAUGGCACUGCCCGGUAGCUAAAUGCGGAAGAGAUAAGUGCUGAAAGCAUCUAAGCACGAAACUUGCCCCGAGAUGAGUUCUCCCUGACCCUUUAAGGGUCCUGAAGGAACGUUGAAGACGACGACGUUGAUAGGCCGGGUGUGUAAGCGCAGCGAUGCGUUGAGCUAACCGGUACUAAUGAACCGUGAGGCUUAACCUUACAACGCCGAAG
rnacentral:rRNA from 1 species